UGGAAGGGUGGCCGAGUGGUUUAUGGCGUCCGUCUGAUAAACGGAUAGACUUCUUCGAAGUCUCGAGGGUUCGAAUCCCUUCCCUUAAU
rnacentral:tRNA from 1 species